rnacentral:rRNA from 1 species
CCUACGGGAGGCAGCAGUGGGGAAUAUUGCGCAAUGGGCGAAAGCCUGACGCAGCGACGCCGCGUGAGGGAUGAAGGUCUUCGGAUCGUAAACCUCUGUCAGCAGGGAAGAACGGUCACUGUGCUAAUCAGCAGUGAAUUGACGGUACCUGCAAAGGAAGCACCGGCUAACUCCGUGCCAGCAGCCGCGGUAAUACGGAGGGUGCGAGCGUUAAUCGGAAUUACUGGGCGGAAAGCGCACGUAGGCGGUAUGUCAAGUCAAUGGUGAAAUCCCCGGGCUCAACGUGGGAACUGCCUUUGAAACUGGCAAAGUGGAGUGUAGGAGAGGAUAGUAGAAUUCCAGGUGUAGCAGUGAAAUGCGUAGAGAUCUGGAGGAACAUCAGUGGCGAAGGCGACUAUCUGGCAAAUAACUGACGCUGAGGAGCGAAAGCGUGGGUAGCAAACAGGAUUAGAUACCCGAGUAGUC